rnacentral:lncRNA from 1 species
GUAGAAAUUAAAUCUUUUGGAAUAGUAUGGAUACACCUGCAUGCUCGGAUGUGGCGGAAAGAUAAAAUAGAAUUCUGAUCCUUUAAAAUAGAACUUGGUAAUUUGAUACUUCCACCUUUUGUUACGGAUUGUUGGAAAUUGUUAGAGAACUUUGAUGCGGGGUUUCUUUUCAAACACCAGCUAGUUACAUUGCUCUUUAUUUAAAAAUCCCUAUGUAGGACAAAACAAGUUUUAAUUUUUUGACUUAAAUUGAUUUCGAUAAAUAUAUCACAUCUUGUCCUUUGG